rnacentral:rRNA from 1 species
UACAGAGGUCUCGAGCGUUGUUCGGAUUCAUUGGGCGUAAAGGGCGCGUAGGCGGCGGGGUAAGUCUGGUGUGAAAUCUCGGAGCUCAACUCCGAAAUUGCACUGGAUACUGCUCUGCUAGAGGGCUGGAGAGGAGAUCGGAAUUCACGGUGUAGCAGGAUGAAAUGCGUAGAUAUCGUGAGGAAGACCAGUGGCGAAGGCGGGUCUCUGGACAGUUCCUGACACUGAGACACGAAGGCCAGGGGAGCAAACGGG